UGGGAGUCUCUCUGGAAAUAGGCCAAGCACUGGGAGUCUACCUGGAAGGAGUCCGGGUUCUGGGAGGCUGGGAGUCUCUCUGGAAGGAGGCCAGGAGUCUCUCUUUAGAAGGAGGCUGGGUUCUGGGAGGCUGGGAGUCUCUCUGGAAAGAGGCCAAGCUCUGGGAGUCUACCUGGAAGGAGUCCGGGUUCUGGGAGGCUGGGAGUCUCUCUGGAAGGAGGCCAGGCACUGGGAGGCUGAGAGUCUAUCUGGAAGGAGGCAAGGCACUGGGGGGCUGGGAGCCUCUCUGGAAGGAGGCUGGGCACGGUCAGUCUCUCUGGAAGGAGGUUGGGAGUCUCUCUGGAAGGAGGCUGAGAGUCUAUCUGGAAGGAGGCCGGGCACUGGGAGGCUGGGAGUCUAUCUGGAAGGAGGCUGGGUACUGGGAGUCUCUCUGGGAGGAGGCCGGGCACUGGUUGUCUCUCUGGGAGGAGGCCGGG